GGAUUCUCAGGUUCUUAAUUCCAGGCAUCCUUCCUUCUUACUGAGUAGAAGGUCAUUCCAUUUCACUUGGUGGAUCUUCGUUUGUCACUAUUGCCUUCCAAAUGAAGUUUCUUCUUAGUGCAUCAAUUCUGUCGACCACAUUUACAGGAAUUGGGAACAGAGACAUCAAGUAAGUAGGCAUAGCAUCUAGGACAGCAUUGAUGAGCACUACUCUGCCUCCCAAUGAUAAAUACUGGCUCUUCCAAUUAGAUAGCUUCUUCUCACACUCUUUCAACCUCUCCAUUCCAUAUCUCCUGAGAUCUACUCUUUGUCCCAAGAAGCAUUCCUAGGCAAACAGCGGC
rnacentral:misc_RNA from 1 species